UGAGGAAUAUUGGUCAAUGGGCGAGAGCCUGAACCAGCCAAAUCGCGUGAAGGAAGACUGCCUUAUGGGUUGUAAACUUCUUUUAUACAGGAAUAAAAAGGGACGUGUCCCUUAUUGCAUGUACUGUAUGAAUAAGCAUCGGCUAACUCCGUGCCAGCAGCCGCGGUAAUACGGAGGAUGCGAGCGUUAUCCGGAUUUAUUGGGUUUAAAGGGUGCGCAGGCGGGCUUUUAAGUCAGCGUGAAAUCUCGGGCUUAAUCCGAAACUGCCGUUGAAACUGGGAGUCUUGAGUAUGGAUGAAGUAGGCGGAAUUCGUUGUGUAGCGGUGACAUGCUUAGAUAUAACGAGGAACUCCGAUUGCGUAGGCAGCUUACUAAGCCAUAACUGACGCUCAAGCACGAAAGCGUGGGAUCAAAACAGGAUUAGAUACCCCUGGUAGUCCACGCCGUAAACGAUGAUUACUAGUUGUAUGCGAUAUACCGUAUGUGACUAAGCGAAAGCGAUAAGUAAUCCACCUGGGGGAGUACGCCGGCAACGGUGAAACUCAAAUGAUUGACGGGGUCA
rnacentral:rRNA from 1 species